rnacentral:misc_RNA from 1 species
ACUUUAGACUCUCCAAUAAGAAAAUUGCGGGAAAAUUUAGAGUCGCGAAGUCAGAUAAACUAUCAUAUCUGAUAUCAACAAAUCAAGAUGGCAAUGUCGGAGUUUGAAUCCGACAACAUGAAGAAUAGUGUUAUAGAAUCAACAAUACCCGACUGUAUAAAAACAGAACCGUGCUGGCUGGGAAUCGACGAGGCGGGCAGGGGACCUGUUCUAGGUCCUAUGGUCUAUGGAAUUUGUUUUAGUCCACUGUCACUUCGUGAAAAAUUUGGAGAAAUGGGAUUUGCUGAUUCAAAAACAUUGACUGAAGAAGAGAGAGAAGGCAUAUUUGAAAGAAUAUGUGCAGCUUCGGACAUGAUGGCUUGGAUUGUGGAAUUAUUAUCCCCAACUUUUAUCUCUAAUGGAAUGUUAAGCAGAUCAAAAUACAACCUGAAUGCAAUAUCGCAUGACUGUGCAAUACGUCUGGUGCAGCGGGCCUUGGAGCUUGGUGCCAAUAUAGCAGAGGUUUAUGUUGAUACAGUAGGAGACCCAGAGAAAUACCAAGCCAAACUAAGGAACCUUUUUCCCAAUAUCCAGAUCACUGUAGCCAAGAAAGCUGAUUCCCUGUAUCCCAUUGUUAGUGCUGCCAGUAUAUGUGCAAAGGUAUGUGUACUGUGUACAUACACAAAGAUUUCUCUUAAAUAGUACUAAUAGGUCUUAUAUUAUUUGUGACAGAUGGUACUUGUAUAGAUGCUUGUAUUGAGGUCAUUGUGAAUUAUUUGUCCAAUUAAUGUCAUGCAAUCUGAAAUGGUUGAUGCAUUUAGUUGAUGUUAUAUUAAAUUUACUUAUCAGUUAUUGUAGAGUAUUAAUUUAAUGUACAUAUUUGAGUCACAACACAAAAUACAUUAUGUGUAUUUCAUUCUCUAACAGAUUUUUGUAAAUACUGCUGACAUAUGUCAUUCGUGUUAUAUUAUUAUGUAACCAGAAAUAAAUUCCAUUGUGAUGUACUUUAUACUACAAUAUAAUGGCAAGAACAGAUCUACUUCUCUACACAUCCAUGGAGGAAGAGGGUGGUCUUAAAUUCUUUGCUAGCAAAGAUGAUCAACUAGUGGAAAUAAUAACCAUUUUGGAACUAUUUUAACAAGAGCUUGGACUCUGGAUAGUUGUGUCAAACAGCAAUGUGACAUAGGUCUGUCUAUUUCACUGAAGGCCACUUAACCAUGGCUCUUUGAAAUCAACAAGAUUUGUCCGGCUUUUGAGCUAAGACUACGCAAUUAGUGUAUGUUUUACUUAAAACCAGCAUCAUUUUUAUGUUGUUUUGAUGCAAGAAAAAGAUACCAUAAGUCCAAGGUCUUGAUAAAAUGGUUUUAUUUACACUGAUGCAAAUUGAAGCACAGUACUGGGUAGAUUUAUUGUCUACUUCACAGGUUUGUAGGGACAGGGCUCUGUCAAAAUGGCAGUUUCAGGAGAAGAUAACUGUGCAUGAGGAUGGAUAUGGAAGUGGAUACCCUGGAGACCCCAAGACAAAGAGGUUUUUGUCAGACAGUAUGGACAAGGUGUUUGGUUUCCCUCAGUUUGUCAGGUUUGGUUGGUCCACAGCGUCCGUGAUGCUACAGAAAAGUGCUGUUGAUGUUCAAUGGGAUGAUGAUGAAGAAGAAGAAGACAAAGAUGCUGUCAAGUUGACCUCUUUUUUUCAGAAGAAAGGACAUGAUCCAAUGCUAGAUAGACAUUCCUAUUUCAAAGACAGAUGUCUGACUUCUUGUGAAUCUUUUUAAUCUUUCAGUGUCAUUAAAGUUAUUUAACCAU